UACGUACUCCCUCCGUUUGGAAUUACUUGUCGUGAAAAUGGAUGUAUCUAGACGUAUUUUAGUUCUAGAUACAUCAAUUUUCGAGACAAGUAAUUUCGAACGGAGGGAGUAUUUG
rnacentral:pre_miRNA from 1 species